rnacentral:rRNA from 1 species
GAUGAACGCUGGCGGCGUGCCUAAUACAUGCAAGUCGAGCGAACGGACGAGAAGCUUGCGGCUCUGAUGUUAGCGGCGGACGGGUGAGUAACGCGUGGAUAACCUACCUAUAAGACUGGGAUAACUUCGAGAAACCGGAGCUAAUACCGGAUGAUAUUUUGCACCGCAUGGUUCAAAAGUGAAAGACGGUCGUGCUGUCACUUAUAGAUGGAUCCGCGCUGUAUUAGCUAGUUGGUAAGGUAACGGCUUACCAAGGCAACGAUGCGUAGACGACGUGAGAGGGUGAUAGGCGACAUUGGAACGUAGACACGGUCCAGAGUCCUACGGGAGGCAGCAGUAGGGAAUGGUACGCAAUGGGCGAGAGCAUGACGGAGCAAGGCCGCGUGAGUGAUGAAGGCCUUCGGUUCGUAAAACUCUGUUAUUAGGGAAGAACAUAUGUGUACGUAAACGUGCACAGCGUGACGGUACCUAAUAAGAAAGCCCCGGCUAACUACGUG